CUAAGUUUGAUGGCGACCGGCGCACGGGUGAGUAACACGUAUCCAACCUGCCGAUAACUCCGGAAUAGCCUUUCGAAAGGAAGAUUAAUACCGGAUAGCAUACGAAUAUCGCAUGAUAUUUUUAUUAAAGAAUUUCGGUUAUCGAUGGGGAUGCGUUCCAUUAGUUUGUUGGCGGGGUAACGGCCCACCAAGACUACGAUGGAUAGGGGUUCUGAGAGGAAGGUCCCCCACAUUGGAACUGAGACACGGCCCAGACUCCUACGGGAGGCAGCAUG
rnacentral:rRNA from 1 species